AUUGAACGCUGGCGGAAUGCUUUACACAUGCAAGUCGAACGGUAGAGGGGGCAACCCCUCGAGAGUGGCGAACGAGUGAGUAAUAUAUCGGAACGUGCCCAGUCGUGGGGGAUAACGUAGCGAAAGUUACGCUAAUACCGCGUACGAUCUAAGGAUGAAAGCGGGGGAUCGCAAGACCUCGCGCGAUUGGAGCGGCCGAUAUCAGAUUAGGUAGUUGGUGGGGUAAAGGCUCACCAAGCCAACGAUCUGUAGCUGGUCUGAGAGGACGACCAGCCACACUGGAACUGAGACACGGUCCAGACUCCUACGGGAGGCAGCAGUGGGGAAUUUUGGACAAUGGGCGCAAGUCUGAUCCAGCCAUUCCGCGUGCAGGGUGAAGGCCCUCGGGUUGUAAACUGCUUUUGUACGGAACGAAAAGGUCUCUCUUAAUACGGGGGACUCAUGACGGUACCGUAAGAAGAAGCACCGGCUAACUACGUGCCAGCCGCCGCCGUAAAAC
rnacentral:rRNA from 1 species